rnacentral:rRNA from 1 species
UACGUAGGGUGCAGGCGUUAUCCGGAUUCACUGGGUUUAAAGGGUGCGUAGGUGGGUUGGUAAGUCAGUGGUGAAAUCUCCAGGCUUAACUUGGAAACUGCCAUUGAUACUAUCACUCUUGAAUACCUGGAGGUCAGCGGAAUAUGUCAUGUAGCGGUGAAAUGCUUAGAUAUGAACAUAGAACACCAAUUGCGAAGGCAGCUGGCUACACGAAUAUUGACGCUGAGGCACGAAAGCGUGGGGAUCAAACAGGA